AGGAGAGAUGUUUCGUGCAAUUAUGAAUCAGCAUCACAGUCCAAAGUCUGUGACACUACUGCAUCCUAUUGCAAAAGUGUUGUAAAACUGUAUCAUGCAAUUUGUACUGCACAGGUGUAACGGCAAUCUUAUAAUUUAGGUCAUGACUCUUGCUUUUUAUGGCUUGGUCUGUUUUUUAACUGUUGAACCUGAAGUUUUCAACCUCAUGUCUGACUUGAAUUCUUCUCUCUCUCUCUCUUUUUUUUUUUUUUUUUUUUUUUAACUUCAAGAAAGUUUGACAGUAAUUCAGCCAUUUCUAGAACGCACCUCAACUUUAAGAUUCCUGGACAAGUGUCUUCUAAGCAAAAGACUUUGCAGAGUCAUUUUAUUGAGGAAAAGUGUUAGCCUCAAGUCUUAAAAAGGAUGUUUAAAAAUCCAGUAAAAAAUGUGGAGUCAGAGGCCUUGUUUUACCUCACAAACCUCCCAGGGUUAACAACAGUUCGUGUUGAGAGGCCGGUCUGUGUGUGGUGCCUCAGUGAGGCGAGGGGCUCCUGAAUGGCAGUGGGCUUCUAAGAUUAUGGAUUUUCUCCUUAAAGCUCUAAAUAAUACAUCUAGGAUUUGUUUUUAUCUGGAUGUGUUCGCAAAGACCCUGUAAUCAUAUAAGCAAGUGCUCUGGAGUGGGUCUCUUGCAACACUUCGGGGAGGGAUCCCAAAGAGCUGCCAAAGCACCGCUGUGUGGGCCUGUCCUGCUUCUUUCAGAAAACACAGGAGGAUUUCCAUAACUUCUGAUGAUCUACCAGCAGCAGCCACUGCAAACACCAGGUGACAUUUCCAAGGUGAUAGGCUCUGUAUGUGUAACUAAGCCCUGCCAUAGGCUGCUACCAAAGACUUUCCAGGACGCCAGUGAAGUGACCAAAGUAGAUGCUAAUGCACUGUCUCAAGGUAAUUGCCCUCUCACAUCUCAUUUUGCACCAGCUGUUAUGUAGCUGUAGCAAUGGAAAACAAGCUGCUAUAUAUAACUGUUUUUAAUAUACAUUAGUAACAGACAUAUGUUUUAUGUGCUUAGCUGUAAUUAACACUUUUCCAGAUUUACAAUAUCCAGUUUCUGUGUUUAUUUUUGUUCAACAGAUUUAAUGCUAUAUUCAUAGAACUAGCUGGGUAUUUUUCAAUAAACCAAAUAUCAGAAAGUGGCGAUUUGUUGAA
rnacentral:lncRNA from 1 species